ensembl:lncRNA
CAAUUAUCAGCUUAAGGCAAAGUUGCUGGAAUGGUUACAGGCAGCCAGUUGCUUUGUGGGAAUCUGAUAUGCACCUGGCAAGCACAGGGAGCAGUGCGCCGUUGCUUGUAGUGUUCUGCCCGCCCAAGGGACCAUCGUCGCAGGUCAAGUUCUUUGUGGGUUUCCAGAAACAGUUCAGGUGCCACUCUCUGGCUGCCCCAGCACUGCCAAAGAAUCCAGACCACUGGCUUUACUGAAGUUAUGAUGGACAGAGAACGAGGAAGCUCGCUUUGUGAAGAAAUCUAAUGGCCGCUGUUCCCUCUUCAUGUCACUUCACUGACUUCUGGGCAACCGCAGCAGCACUGAAGACGCUGCCACCUGAAGCAGUUCUUCUUUAGAGAAGUCACAUAGGAAAUGUGGCCUGGCUUCUUCUCAGCUUCGAGUACUGGCUACCAGGUCCCCAGGUCACCUCCUUCCUAAGCAAGUUUGAGGAGCAGAGGAAAGGAAGGAUCCCUUUGCCCCAUCUAUACCUGCAGCUACAAAGAGGAGUCUUUGUACAGGAACAGAGUGGAAUUUGCUGGCUGCAGAGUGCUUUAAGCAGUGCAGCUGUAAUAUGCUACAUGCCAGAUUGUAGACAUUCCUGGCACAGAUUUCCAGAAUAUGAAUAAACAUGGGAUGUAUGUAUAAAACAGCACACAACGCAGGCCCUCGGAGGCCUGGAGAGUGCAUGGCAAUGCCUUUGUGCACAUACAGCCUGAAGGCCAGGUGUCACUUUCAACUCCAGUAUCCACAUAUGCCGGUCAAUUAUUUCAAUGUAUUGGAGGAAUUAUCUGAUAAUGUCAUACCUCUCCAAUGCACAGACUCAUUUCCAAUUGCAAUGUCCCUUGAUGGCCACCACAAGAUGUAGCAAUGAAAUACCACAAAUAUCACGAGUAGGGAGGCAAAGAGAACUUGAGAACAUGUUAAUUAGGAAGGCUUAGGUGGGCUGCAAAAUCUCUAAGGUCAUCCAUUCCGAGAUCCAGCGACAGGGGUAGAGUCACAAGUGAUUCACUGCAAAGGGAAGCAUUAUUUUAGAAAAUGAAUAAUUAAAAUUCAGGAACUGCUGAACAGCACUUAAGCAAGACAAAUCCUAAUGUCUGUGUAAGUAUCAUGCCCAGUGUAUGUCUAGUCCUGUGCCAUUACAACACUUCUUUGAAAAAAAAAACAACACAGAAGGAGAAUAUGGCAUUGUAGGCAGCAAACAGUCAACAAAAAUAUAGGGUGACCCCACCUCUAACAGCUGAGCACUCUCAGCCCCUGGGGAAAGACUGCUGCCAUAUAGAUGUGAGGUGGUUUUCUCUGAUGCAAGGUGAUACAUCAGACCUCACAAGAGUCAGUGGGGGUCUUUCUGCUGACACAAUGAUAAUGCCUUUGCAUCAUUGAGUGCUGUUAAUCAAAACCAAAAGCAAGAGAAUGUUUUCCAAAGAUUACUUGCUAUUUUUUCUCCCUGAAUUUUUUGACAAUUUGAAGAGUGGAGCACUGUGCAGGCACAGGGCAAACACUUAAAUUAGGCCAGAGGUAACUUGUGGCACUGUCGUAACUGCCAUAAAUGCAGAGAGAAACAGGUCAGCAACUACAAACUCUGGAAACAUACGUACCCAGAUGUUGGAUUUAAAAGCAUGAAAAUGGCAUAUAUACCAUUCUCCUCCUGACCUGUUCUUUACACUCUACUAUGUUGCACGCUGUUCUUUCUCCUCUCCAGAGCAGAGAGAAACCAGAUCUUUACACACUCAUGGUGAAUUUUCAAAUCAGUAACAUAUGAAACUUUGUCUAAAAGGUAAAGAGGCUGUAAAAAUCAAUGUCAGAGAGAACACUUUGCCAAUUCAAUUAUACUUCUCUCAAACUGAAAACAAACGAGAAAAAGAGACAAGAAGCAAAAAAAGGGAAAAGAUGUGGGCUUAUUUCAAGCCCAAUAAAUGUUCCUUGGGCUAACAUCCCAAUUCGUUAAAUAUUCUCAGGGCUGCUUAUGCCAAGUCCCCUCAAGGGGUCAUAAUUAACUCUAAAUAGGGCUACCUUGUUUCACAAUCAGUCUUAUUUCAAGCAAUGCUCCUGUCUGUGUCCACAAUUUUAAAAUAAUGUUGUGUCCAUUAGAUGGCAUGAAAGUGUCCCAGAAAUGGAAAUCAGCCAU